ACGAACGCUGGCGGCGUGCUUAACACCUGCCAGUCGGACGGAAAGGCCUGCUUUCCCUUGUGGAUUGCGGGUCCUCGAGUGGCGAACGGGUGAGUAACACGUUAGUGAUCUGCCCCCAACUUGGGUAUAAGACUGGGAAACUGGGUCUAAUUCCCGAUAGGACUGCAGGGUGGUGCCGGUGGUGGAAAACGAUUUUCUAGUGGUUGGGGAUGAGCUCGCGGCCUAUCAGCUUGUUGGUGGGGUAAUGGCCUACCAAGGCGGCGACGGGUAGCCGGCGUGAGGGAGUGGACGGGCACAUUGGGACGGAGAUACGGCGCAGACUCCUACGGGCGGCAGCAGUGGGGAAUAAUGCACGGUGGGCGGAAGCCUGAGGGAGCGAGGCCGCGUGAGGGAUGACGGCUUUCGGGUUGUAACCUCCGUGCUACCGCGAGGAAUCCACCUGGUUGGAAGGGUGGUGACGGUAGUGGUAGAAGAAGCACCGGCUAACUACGUG
rnacentral:rRNA from 1 species